CAGUAACACGUGGAUAACCUACCCUCAGGUGGGGGAUAACCCCGGGAAACUGGGGAUAAUACCCCAUAGACCAGGGACGCUGGAAUGCCCCCUGGUCGAAAGGUCCGCCGCCUGAGGAUGGGUCUGCGGCCGAUUAGGUUGUUGUUGGGGUAACGGCCCAACAAGCCUUUGAUCGGUACGGGUUGUGAGAGCAAGAGCCCGGAGAUGGAUUCUGAGACACAAAUCCAGGCCCUACGGGGCGCAGCAGGCGCGAAAACUUUACAAUGCGAGAAAUCGUGAUAAGGGAACCCCGAGUGCCCGUAAAUUCUGGCUGUCCAUCAGCGUAAAAAACUGGUGAAGAAAGGGCCGGGCAAGACCGGUGCCAGCCGCCGCGGUAAUACCGGCGGGUCGAGUGGUGGCCACUAUUACUGGGCUUAAAUCGUCCGUAGCUGGAUUCGAAUUCUCUUGGGAAAUCCGCCGGCUUAUCCGGCGGCUGUUCACGAGAAACUGUUAAUCUACCU
rnacentral:rRNA from 1 species